rnacentral:rRNA from 1 species
AUUGAACGCUGGCGGCAUGCUUUACACAUGCAAGUCGAACGGCAGCGCGGGCUUCGGCCUGGCGGCGAGUGGCGUACGGGUGAGUAAUACAUCGGAACGUGCCCAGUAGUGGGGGAUAGCUCGGCGAAAGCCGGAUUAAUACCGCAUACGACCUGAGGGUGAAAGCGGGGGAUCUUCGGACCUCGCGCUAUUGGAGCGGCCGAUGGCAGAUUAGCUAGUUGGUGGGGUAAAGGCCUACCAAGGCGACGAUCUGUAGCUGGUCUGAGAGGACGACCAGCCACACUGGGACUGAGACACGGCCCAGACUCCUACGGGAGGCAGCAGUGGGGAAUUUUGGACAAAGGGCGAAAGCCUGAUCCAGCAAUGCCGCGUGUGUGAUGAAGGCCUUCGGGUUGUAAAGCACUUUUGGCGGGAACGAAAAGGACUGUGCCAAUACCACGGUUCGAUGACGGUACCCGCAGAAUAAGCACCGGCUAACUACGUG